rnacentral:rRNA from 1 species
UGGGGAAUAUUGCACAAUGGGCGCAAGCCUGAUGCAGCCAUGCCGCGUGUAUGAAGAAGGCCUUCGGGUUGUAAAGUACUUUCAGCGGGGAGGAAGGGAGUAAAGUUAAUACCUUUGCUCAUUGACGUUACCCGCAGAAGAAGCACCGGCUAACUCCGUGCCAGCAGCCGCGGUAAUACGGAGGGUGCAAGCGUUAAUCGGAAUUACUGGGCGUAAAGCGCACGCAGGCGGUUGAUUGAGUCAGAUGUUAAAUCCCCGGGCUUAACCCGGGAAUUGGCUCUGAAACUGGUCAGCUAAAGGACUGUAGAGGGGGGUAGAAUUCCAUGUGUAGCGGUGAAAUGCGUAGAGAUGUGGAGGAAUACCGGUGGCGAAGGCGGCCCCCUGGACAAAGACUGACGCUCAGGUGCGAAAGCGUGGGGAGCAAACAGG